rnacentral:rRNA from 1 species
GGGUCAGUAGGUUGGUCGUGCCACCGGUACGUACUGGUCUCACUGAUUCCUCCUUCCUGAAGAACCAUAAUGCCAUUAAUUUGGUGUUGCGGGGAAACAGGACUGUUACUUUGAAAAAAUCAGAGUGUUUAAAGCAAGCUAACGCUUGAAUACAUUAGCAUGGAAUAAUGAAAUAGGACGAUCGAUCCUAUUUUGUUGGUUUCUAGGAUUGACGUA